rnacentral:rRNA from 1 species
AGUGAGGAAUAUUGCGCAAUGGGCGAAAGCCUGACUCAGCGACGCCGCGUGGGGGAUGAAGGUUUUCGGAUUGUAAACCCCUUUCAUGAGGAAAGAUAAAGUGGGUAACCACUUAGACGGUACCUCAAGAAGAAGCCACGGUUAACUUCGUGCCAGCAGCCGCGGUAAUACCAAGGUGGCAAGCGUUGUUCGGAUUUACUGGGCGUAAAGAGCACGUAGGCGGUUGGGAAAGCCUCUUGGGAAAUCUCCCGGCUUAACCGGGAAAGGUCGAAAGGAACUAUUCAGCUAGAGGACGGGAGA